UCCCACCCAUCCAUGCACUCAUUAGUUGCCUCCUGCAUGUGCCCUGACUGGGGAUCGAAUCAACCCUGGCAUACGGGACAACAUUCCAACCAAUGGAGCUACCUGGCCAGAGCAUGUCUUUUCUAUUUUUUUCUAAAAGUAGGAUAUAUUAUGUAAUCAUAAAAAUAAAACAAUAAACAUAUUUUUAAACAGCAACUUUCUUGUAGUGGUUCUAUGAGGAUAAUUGUACAUUUAAAUUAUUCAAACAAAUUUACAAGAGAUUCUGCUUUACUUCCUUAUCUCAUCAUUAUAAAUACUUUGUAACUUUAAACUUGACUUUUUCCUCUGGAUAAAGAUUUUGUGGCUCCUAAGAACUGGCGUUUUUUAAGACCUCUAAAUAAUAUUAUUUGAAGAAACUUGAGGCCAAGAUCACAAAUCCAAUUUACGAAAUCACUCAGCAACAACUGGAAAAUAUUUUCAAUGACUUGGAAAAUCGGAUUACAUAAUGAAUUGUGGAUGAUGGUUUUAAUCUUGAAUCUGAGGAAUGUGAACUCUACUGUAUUAAAACAUUGAAGAUGAUGUUUCUAUACACCAUUUUUAGAUGGCUUCUCUUCCAGAACUUCAAAGAUUAUUUUUAAUCAAGGACUUUAUGAACAAUAUAUAUUCAUCUAUGAAAAUUAAGGAGAAUGUGCACACACAUGAAAUAUAUGGGGAAAACCUCAGAGUCAGUGCCUCUUAAACUGUAGAGUCAAUUUAAUUUCUCUGUCCUGAAAUGCACUUUCAGACCCAAAAGGUUUGGUGAGUGGAGUCCAAGAUUCUGCAUCUCUAAGACUUCCAGAUGUUGCUAAUGUUGCUCCUGGGAGCCACACUUCAAAUAACAAGACUCUGAGUCUCCUUAAAGUCUUUAAGAUGGGGAUUAAUCACCUGCAUUUAAAAAAGACACCAUGCCCCACUUAACACACUCUCCUUCAGACUACAAUAGUUCUCUAAGUGACUUUCCUCACUUCAGUGUCACUCUCUUUCAUUCUUAUCACUCACAUUAUUUCCAAAGUAAUUUUCUAAAAUGCAAACCAGGUGAAGUUACUACUCCUUUAGGAUGGUACCUUAUUGUUCAACAUGUCUCAAACCCAAAUGCUCCCAGGGGCCAGGUACAUAAUGUGAAUAAGUAAAGCAAGGUAGGCAAAGAGGAGUGGUGAGGCCUGUGGCAAGCUGGAGUACACACACCUUUUUCUAAAGGAAACAGCUAUCCCAGGCUCCAGCCAAGAGCUGCGGUAUCUAUAUGGAAUGGAGCACCUGAUAUUGCCAGAUAGUCCACAUUUUUUUUAGCAAUGGGAAAUCUGAAUUUCUUUUUUGACCAAAACUUCAACAGUUUAAGAUGGACAAUGAAUUUGAAAAAGAGCCCUUAUUAUAUGAAAUGUUAAAAUAAAGGGGCUUACCUAAGCAAAAAGGAUGAUCAAAACUGUGAACAGUGAAAAGACAACAAACUCAACAACUGAACC